GACGAACGCUGGCGGCGUGCUUAACACAUGCAAGUCGAACGCUGAAGCUCAGCUUUUGUUGGGUGGAUGAGUGGCGAACGGGUGAGUAACACGUGAGUAACCUGCCCCCUUCUUUGGGAUAACGCCCGGAAACGGGUGCUAAUACUGGAUAUUCACUGGUCUUCGCCUGGGGGUUGGUGGAAAGGGUUUUUCUGGUGGGGGUUGGGCUCGCGGCCUAUCCGCUUGUUGGUGGGGUGAUGGCCUACCAAGGCUUUGACGGGUAGCCGGCCUGGGAGGGUGACCGGUCACAUUGGGACUGAGAUACGGCCGAGACUGCGACGGGGGGCAGAAUUGGAGGAUAUGGCGCAGUGGGGGAAAGUCUGAUGCGGCGGCGCGGCUGAAGGGGUGAAGGCCUGCGGGUUGUGAACCUCUUUGGCUCAUGAUGAAGCCGCAACAAUGGUUGUGGUGAGGGUAGUGGGUAAAGAAGCGCCGGCUAACUACGUG
rnacentral:rRNA from 1 species